rnacentral:rRNA from 1 species
AUUGAACGCUGGCGGCAGGCCUAACACAUGCAAGUCGAGCGGAUGAAGGGAGCUUGCUCCUGGAUUCAGCGGCGGACGGGUGAGUAAUGCCUAGGAAUCUGCCUGGUAGUGGGGGAUAACGUCCGGAAACGGGCGCUAAUACCGCAUACGUCCUGAGGGAGAAAGUGGGGGAUCUUCGGACCUCACGCUAUCAGAUGAGCCUAGGUCGGAUUAGCUAGUUGGUGGGGUAAAGGCCUACCAAGGCGACGAUCCGUAACUGGUCUGAGAGGAUGAUCAGUCACACUGGAACUGGGACACGGUCCAGACUCCUACGGGAGGCAGCAGUGGGGAAUAUUGGACAAUGGGCGAAAGCCUGAUCCAGCCAUGCCGCGUGUGUGAAGAAGGUCUUCGGAUUGUAAAGCACUUUAAGUUGGGAGGAAGGGCAGUAAGUUAAUACCUUGCUGUUUUGACGUUACCAACAGAAUAAGCACCGGCUAACUUCGUGC